UCCCCCUGGCAAUGGGCAGAGACCCCUUGGUGGUGGUGGUGCUCUUAUAUUGGUCAGAGGCAGAGCAGUUGGCAGUCCUUUGUCCUUUCUAGCUUGAGGCCUGGCUUGGUGGCCAACGCUGCCUUAUGCCUGGGACACACAG
ensembl:snoRNA